GAUGAACGCUGGCGGCGUGCCUAACACAUGCGAGUCGAGCGAUUCUCUUCGGAGAAGAGCGGCGGACGGGUGAGUAACGCGUGGGUAGCCUGCCCUGUACACACGGAUAACAUACCGAAAGGUAUGCUAAUACGAGAUAAUAUGCUUUUAUCGCAUGGUAGAAGUAUCAAAGCUUUUGCGGUACAGGAUGGACCCGCGUCUGAUUAGCUAGUUGGUAAGGUAACGGCUUACCAAGGCGACGAUCAGUAGCCGACCUGAGAGGGUGAUCUGCCACAUUGGAACUGAGACACGGUCCAAACUCCUACGGGAGGCAGCAGUGGGGAAUAUUGCACAAUGGGCGAAAGCCUGAUGCAGCAACGCCGCGUGAGCGAUGAAGGCCUUCGGGUCGUAAAGCUCUGUCCUCAAGGAAGAUAAUGACGGUACUUGAGGAGGAAGCCCCGGCUAACUACGUGCCAGCCGCCGCGGUAA
rnacentral:rRNA from 1 species